rnacentral:tRNA from 1 species
ACUAUUUUGGCAGAUUAGUGCAGUAAAUUUAGGAUUUAUUUAUGUAGUUCAUUCUACAGAUAGUA